GGCCUAACACAUGCAAGUCGAGCGGUAACAGGGGUAGCUUGCUNCCCGCUGACGAGCGGCGGACGGGUGAGUAAUGCAUAGGAAUCUGCCCGAUAGUGGGGGAUAACCUGGGGAAACCCAGGCUAAUACCGCAUACGUCCUACGGGAGAAAGGGGGCUCCGGCUCCCGCUAUCGGAUGAGCCUAUGUCGGAUUAGCUGGUUGGUGAGGUAAAGGCUCACCAAGGCGACGAUCCGUAGCUGGUCUGAGAGGAUGAUCAGCCACAUCGGGACUGAGACACGGCCCGAACUCCUACGGGAGGCAGCAGUGGGGAAUAUUGGACAAUGGGGGGAACCCUGAUCCAGCCAUGCCGCGUGUGUGAAGAAGGCCCUCGGGUUGUAAAGCACUUUCAGUGAGGAAGAACGCCUGGUGGUUAAUACCCAUCAGGAAAGACAUCACUCACAGAAGAAGCACCGGCUAACUCCGUGCCAGCAGCCGCGGUAAUACGGAGGGUGCGAGCGUUAAUCGGAAUUACUGGGCGUAAAGCGCGCGUAGGUGGCUUGAUAAGCCGGUUGUGAAAGCCCCGGGCUCAACCUGGGAACGGCAUCCGGAACUGUCAAGCUAGAGUGCAGGAGAGGAAGGUAGAAUUCCCGGUGUAGCGGUGAAAUGCGUAGAGAUCGGGA
rnacentral:rRNA from 1 species